CCCUUAGAUGUUCUGGGCCGCACGCGUGCUACACUGGGUGGAUCAGCGGGUCAGGUUGCGCGAAAGUGUUUCCUAAUCUUUAAAUCCGCUCGUGAUGGGGAUUGACGGUUGCAAUUUUCCGUCAUGAACGAGGAAUACCUUGUAAGCGCGGGUCAUCAUCCCGCGCUGAAUACGUCCCUGCCCUUUGUACACACCGCCCGUCGCUCCUACCGAUUGAGUGGUCCGGUGAGGCUUUGGGAUCUGGGCGGAAAGAGCGUUUCGCUGUUUCUGCCCGGAAAACUCAGUCGAACCUUAUCAUUUAGAGGAAGGAGAAGUCGUAACA
rnacentral:rRNA from 1 species